CAUGGAUGAAUAUUCUUUUUCCUUUGGCUUGAAGUUUUAAGCUGCUUACAACAUGUGGAAUUCAAAGCUGCAGGCACACAACUGCCAGAACUGUCAGGAAGAUUAACAACAGGUACAAAAUACUCAUCGGGAACUACCUAGCCUUGGCUUCAACUGUCCUCUGCUUUCACCAUAUUAUUCACCUGCUGUCUUCCACUCCAAUGAGGCAGUUACAGCCUAAACCAGGUGCACCUGCCAGAAUAACUUGAUUGGGAAGAUUAUAUCUAAACAAGAAUCAGCUAUUAAGUUUCAUCAAGCCAUAUUUUUGCUCUAUUUCAUAGAAACAGCAGGUGAGUUAGACUGGUUGCUUGCUAAAGAAAAACACAUGUAGAAGGCUUAAACCUCAAGCAAGCAUAGAUAUAGAAGUGUCGGUGGUGAUAGAAAUCUAACCCGUAGGA
rnacentral:lncRNA from 13 species